GAUGAAGAACGUAGCGAAAUGCGAUAAGUAAUGUGAAUUGCAGAAUUCAGUGAAUCAUCGAAUCUUUGAACGCUCCUUGCGCUCCUUGGUAUUCCGAGGAGCAUGCCUGUUUGAGUGUCAUUAAAUUCUCAACCUCACCAACUUUGUUGUGUGAAGGCUUGGAUGUGGGGGUUGCAGGUCCGCACUCGUGUGGUCUGCUCCUCUAAAACGUAUUAGUGGGUUAGUCCCCUAAUCUAUUGGUGUGAUAAUUAUCUACGCCGUGGAUUUGGCAGGCUAUCAUAGACCUGCUUCUAACCGUCCUCUGGACAACUUUGACAAUUUUGACCUCAAAUCAGGUAAGACUACCCGCUGAACUUAAGCAUAUCAAUAAGCGGAGGA
rnacentral:misc_RNA from 1 species